GCCGAGCGGUAUAAGAUCUUCGGAUCUUAGAGAGCGGCGCACGGGUGCGGAACACGUGUGCAACCUACCUUUAUCAGGGGGAUAGCCUUUCGAAAGGAAGAUUAAUACCCCAUAAUAUAUUGAAUGGCAUCAUUCGAUAUUGAAAACUCCGGUGGAUAGAGAUGGGCACGCGCAAGAUUAGAUAGUUGGUGAGGUAACGGCUCACCAAGUCAAUGAUCUUUAGGGGGCCUGAGAGGGUGAUCCCCCACACUGGUACUGAGACACGGACCAGACUCCUACGGGAGGCAGCAGUGAGGAAUAUUGGACAAUGGGUGAGAGCCUGAUCCAGCCAUCCCGCGUGAAGGACGACGGCCCUAUGGGUUGUAAACUUCUUUUGUAUAGGGAUAAACCUUUCCACGUGUGGAAAGCUGAAGGUACUAUACGAAUAAGCACCGGCUAACUCCGUGCCAGCAGCCGCGGUAAUACGGAGGGUGCAAGCGUUAUCCGGAUUUAUUGGGUUUAAAGGGUCCGUAGGCGGACUCGUAAGUCAGUGGUGAAAUCUCAUAGCUUAACUAUGAAACUGCCAUUGAUACUGCGGGUCUUGAGUAAGGUAGAGGUAGCUGGAAUAAGUAGUGUAGCGGUGAAAUGCAUAGAUAUUACUUAGAACACCAAUUGCGAAGGCAGGUUACCAUGUCUUAACUGACGCUGAUGG
rnacentral:rRNA from 1 species